rnacentral:rRNA from 1 species
UGGGGAAUAUUGCACAAUGGGCGCAAGCCUGAUGCAGCCAUGCCGCGUGUAUGAAGAAGGCCUUGGGGUUGUAAAGUACUUUCAGCGGGGAGGAAGGCGAUAAGGUUAAUAACCUUGUCGAUUGACGUUACCCGCAGAAGAAGCACCGGCUAACUCCGUGCCAGCAGCCGCGGUAAUACGGAGGGUGCAAGCGUUAAUCGGAAUUACUGGGCGUAAAGCGCACGCAGGCGGUCUGUCAAGUCGGAUGUGAAAUCCCCGGGCUCAACCUGGGAACUGCAUUCGAAACUGGCAGGCUAGAGUCUUGUAGAGGGGGGUAGAAUUCCAGGUGUAGCGGUGAAAUGCGUAGAGAUCUGGAGGAAUACCGGUGGCGAAGGCGGCCCCCUGGACAAAGACUGACGCUCAGGUGCGAAAGCGUGGGGAGCAAACA